rnacentral:rRNA from 1 species
GACGUAGGGCGCGAGCGUUGUCCGGAUUUAUUGGGCGUAAAGAGCUCGUAGGCGGCUUGUCGCGUCUGCUGUGAAAUCCCGAGGCUCAACCUCGGGUCUGCAGUGGGUACGGGCAGACUAGAGUGUGGUAGGGGAGAUUGGAAUCCUGGUGUAGCGGUGGAAUGCGCAGAUAUCAGGAGGAACACCGAUGGCGAAGGCAGAUCUCUGGGCCAUUACUGACGCUGAGGAGCGAAAGCAUGGGGAGCGAACAGG